GACGAACGCUGGCGGCGUGCUUAACACAUGCAAGUCGAACGGAAAGGCCCUGCUUUUGUGGGGUGCUCGAGUGGCGAACGGGUGAGUAACACGUGAGUAACCUGCCCUUGACUUUGGGAUAACUUCAGGAAACUGGGGCUAAUACCGGAUAGGAGCUCCUGCUGCAUGGUGGGGGUUGGAAAGUUUCGGCGGUUGGGGAUGGACUCGCGGCUGAUCAGCUUGUUGGUGGGGUAGUGGCUUACCAAGGCUUUGACGGGUAGCCGGCCUGAGAGGGUGACCGGCCACAUUGGGACUGAGAUACGGCCCAGACUCCUACGGGAGGCAGCAGUGGGGAAUAUUGCACAAUGGGCGGAAGCCUGAUGCAGCAACGCCGCGUGCGGGAUGACGGCCUUCGGGCUGUAAACCGCUUUCGCCUGUGACGAAGCGUGAGUGACGGUAAUGGGUAAAGAAGCACCGGCUAACUACGUG
rnacentral:rRNA from 1 species